rnacentral:tRNA from 1 species
GGGCCUGUAGCUCAGCCGGUUAGAGCGUUCCUCUGAUAAGGGAGAGGCCGUUGGUUCGAGUCCAACCAGGCCCACC